CCUACGGGAGGCAGCAGUGAGGAAUAUUGGUCAAUGGCCGGAAGGCUGAACCAGCCAAGCCGCGUGAAGGACGAAGGUGCCAAGCAUUGUAAACUUCUUUUGUCAAGGGACAAAAUCAGGCUCGAGAGCCUGACCGAGGGUACUUGAAGAAAAAGCAUCGGCUAACUCCGUGCCAGCAGCCGCGGUAAUACGUAGGUGGCGAGCGUUAUCCGGAAUGAUUGGGCGUAAAGGGUGCGUAGGCGGCCUGCUAAGUCUGGAGUGAAAGGUACCGGCUCAACCGGUACAGGCUCUGGAAACUGGCGGGCUAGAGAGCAGGAGAGGGCGGUGGAACUCCAUGUGUAGCGGUAAAAUGCGUAGAUAUAUGGAAGAACACCAGUGGCGAAGGCGGCCGCCUGGCCUGUUACUGACGCUGAGGCACGAAAGCGUGGGGAGCAAAUAGGAUUAGAUACCCCGGUAGUC
rnacentral:rRNA from 1 species